rnacentral:rRNA from 1 species
UACGGGGGGGGCAAGCGUUGUUCGGAAUUACUGGGCGUAAAGGGCUCGUAGGCGGCCAACUAAGUCGGACGUGAAAUCCCUCGGCUCAACCGGGGAACUGCGUCCGAUACUGGAUGGCUUGAGUUCGGGAGAGGGAUGCGGAGUUCCAGGUGUAGCGGUGAAAUGCGUAGAUAUCUGGAGGAACACCGGUGGCGAAGGCGGCAUCCUGGACCGACACUGACGCUGAGGAGCGAAAGCCAGGGGAGCAAACGGG